rnacentral:misc_RNA from 1 species
AAGUCGUAACAAGGUUUCCGUAGGUGAACCUGCGGAAGGAUCAUCAUUGAAUCUAUUCUUAUAAACCUUUGUGAACUGUAUGUGUAAGAGCUUGUUGGUGGGAAGGGGAUGCCCCGCGUCUUGGCUCUCGGGCCAGGUGCCCGCCAGCUUGCUCGUAUUUUAACAAACUUUUAAAACAUCCACUGAUAAAAUUUAUUUAAUAAAAACAACUUUCAACAAUGGAUCUCUUGGUUCUC